UAAUAAUAGGAAUUCUUUUGACCAUUAGGUUCUCUUUGACAUUUCUUCUUCUACUUUGUCACGGGCUGAUAAAAGAGGUACAGGCAUACCAUACAAAAUACAACACAUCUCCAGAAGAGUAGACAAGUCUUAAAUAUAAAAAAAAUCUGCAAGAUAAUCCUUCCUUACAAGACGAUGUCCUCUCCUGACCAUUUAGAUGAGUUUCCGCUAUGCCUGUGAGUAGAGUUCUUUGCUUUCUCACAAAACUGUUGGGAAAUUCAGAAAAAAAACAUCCACAAAGACACAAUGCUUUACUGCCAUUAAAGAAAUAGCAUACCUAAUUAUAGGAAGUCUUUCGUUAUAUAUGGAUCUCCUUGACACUUUUUUCUUCUAAAUUGUCACGGGCUGAUAAAAGAAGUACAGGCACAAGAUACAAAAUGCAACACAUUUCCAAGUCUUAAAUUCCAGAAAAUUGAAAGAUAAUCCUUUCUUACAAGACGCUGUCCUCUCCUGACCAUUUAGAUGAGUUUCCGCUAUGCCUAUGAGUAGAGUUCUUUGCUUUCUCACAAAACUGUUGGGAAAUUGAGAAAAAAAA